rnacentral:rRNA from 1 species
GACGAACGCUGGCGGCGUGCCUAAUACAUGCAAGUUGAGCGAUGAAGAUUGGUGCUUGCACCAAUUUGAAGAGCAGCGAACGGGUGAGUAACGCGUGGGGAAUCUGCCUUUGAGCGGGGGACAACAUUUGGGAACGAAUGCUAAUACCGCAUAACAACUAUAAACAUAAGUUUUAAGUUUGAAAGAUGCAAUUGCAUCACUCAAAGAUGAUCCCGCGUUGUAUUAGCUAGUUGGUGAGGUAAAGGCUCACCAAGGCGAUGAUACAUAGCCGACCUGAGAGGGUGAUCGGCCACAUUGGGACUGAGACACGGCCCAAACUCCUACGGGAGGCAGCAGUAGGGAAUCUUCGGCAAUGGACGAAAGUCUGACCGAGCAACGCCGCGUGAGUGAAGAAGGUUUUCGGAUCGUAAAACUCUGUUGGUAGAGAAGAACGUUGGUGAGAGUGGAAAGCUCAUCAAGUGACGGUAACUACCCAGAAAGGGACGGCUAACUACGUG